rnacentral:rRNA from 1 species
AUUAAACGCUGGCGGCAUGCCUUACACAUGCAAGUCGAACGGUAGCGCGGGGCAACCUGGCGACGAGUGGCGAACGGGUGAGUAAAGCAUCGGAACGUGCCCUGGAAUGGGGGAUAACGUAGCGAAAGUUACGCUAAUACCGCAUAUUCUGUGAGCAGGAAAGCAGGGGAUCGCAAGACCUUGCGUUCUGGGAGCGGCCGAUGUCGGAUUAGCUAGUUGGUGGGGUGAAAGCCUACCAAGGCGACGAUCCGUAGCGGGUCUGAGAGGAUGACCCGCCACACUGGGACUGAGACACGGCCCAGACUCCUACGGGAGGCAGCAGUGGGGAAUUUUGGACAAUGGGCGGAAGCCUGAUCCAGCCAUGCCGCGUGAGUGAAGAAGGCCUCGGUUGUAAG